rnacentral:rRNA from 1 species
GACGAACGCUGGCGGCGUGCUUAACACAUGCAAGUCGAACGGAAAGGCCCUGCUUUUGUGGGGUGCUCGAGUGGCGAACGGGUGAGUAACACGUGAGUAACCUGCCCUUGACUUUGGGAUAACUUCAGGAAACUGGGGCUAAUACCGGAUAGGAGCUCCUGCUGCAUGGUGGGGGUUGGAAAGUUUCGGCGGUUGGGGAUGGACUCGCGGCUUAUCAGCUUGUUGGUGGGGUAGUGGCUUACCAAGGCUUUGACGGGUAGCCGGCCUGGGAGGGUGACCGGCCACAUUGGGACUGAGAUACGGACCAGACUCCUACGGGAGGCAGCAGUGGGGAAUAUUGCACAAUGGGCGGAAGCCUGAUGCAGCAACGCCGCGUGCGGGAUGACGGCCUUCGGGUUGUAAACCGCUUUCGCCUGUGACGAAGCGUGAGUGACGGUAAUGGGUAAAGAAGCACCGGCUAACUACGUG